UACAGAGGUGGCAAGCGUUGUUCGGAAUUACUGGGCGUAAAGGGUCCGUAGGUGGCUCGCUAAGUCAGACGUGAAAUCCCUCGGCUUAACCGGGGAACUGCGUCUGAGACUGAUGAGCUUGAGUGCAGGAGAGGAACGCGGAAUUCCAGGUGUAGCGGUGAAAUGCGUAGAUAUCUGGAGGAACACCGGUGGCGAAGGCGGCGUUCUGGACUGCAACUGACACUGAAAGACGAAAGCCAGGGGAGCAAACGGG
rnacentral:rRNA from 1 species